rnacentral:rRNA from 1 species
GACGAACGCUGGCGGCGUGCUUAACACAUGCAAGUCGAACGGAAAGGCCCUGCUUUUGUGGGGUGCUCGAGUGGCGAACGGGUGAGUAACACGUGAGUAACCUGCCCUUGACUUUGGGAUAACUUCAGGAAACCGGGGAUACUACCGGAUACGAGCGCCUGCUGCAUGGUGGGGGUUGGAAAGUUUAGGCGGAUGGGGAUGGACUUGGGGCUUAUCAGCUUGUUGGUGGGGUAGUGGCCUACCAAGUCUUUGACGGGUAGUCGGCCUGAGAGGGUGGCCGGCCACAUUGGGACUGAGAUACGGCCCAGACUCCUACGGGAGGCAGCAGUGGAGAAUAUUGCACAAUGGGCGGGAGCCUGAUGCGGCAACGCCGCGUGCGGGAUGACGGCCUUCGGGUUGUAAACCGCUUUCGCCUGUGACGAAGCGUGAGUGACGGUAAUGGGUAAAGAAGCACCGGCUAACUACGUG